GAUGAACGCUGGCGGCGUGCCUAAUACAUGCAAGUCGAGCGAACAGACGAGGAGCUUGCUCCUCUGACGUUAGCGGCGGACGGGUGAGUAACACGUGGAUAACCUACCUAUAAGACUGGGAUAACUUCGGGAAACCGGAGCUAAUACCGGAUAAUAUAUUGAACCGCAUGGUUCAAUAGUGAAAGACGGUUUUGCUGUCACUUAUAGAUGGAUCCGCGCCGCAUUAGCUAGUUGGUAAGGUAACGGCUUAACAAGGCGACGAUGCGUAGCCGACCUGAGAGGGUGAUCGGCCACACUGGAACUGAGACACGGUCCAGACUCCAACGGGAGGCAGCAGUAGGGAAUCUUCCGCAAUGGGCGAAAGCCUGACGGAGCAACGCCGCGUGAGUGAUGAAGGUCUUCGGAUCGUAAAACUCUGUUAUUAGGGAAGAACAAAUGUGUAAGUAACUAUGCACGUCUUGACGGUACCUAAUCAGAAAGCCACGGCUAACUACGUG
rnacentral:rRNA from 1 species